rnacentral:tRNA from 1 species
GGUUCGUAGCUCAGAGGUAGAGCGAUCGCCUCACACGUGUGAGACCCUGAGUUCAAUCCUCAGCACCA